UGUCCUGUAUCAAAUGUUCGUGUCCAACUCUCUCCAGCUUUUUGCUCCAAAAGGUUUCAGGAUGGCCCGCCUGUCCAGCUGGCGGGUUCACGCGGGGCAGGUCAGCCACAGUGCCGUCAGGCCCCACCAAGGGGCUGUGGUGGAGAGGAUUAUCCCACACCCCCUCUACAGUGCCCAGAAUCAUGACUACGACGUCGCCCUCCUGAGGCUCCGGACCCCUCUCAGCUUCUCAGGCUCUGCAGUGGGGGAAGCCAAGCCUGACUGGGGACCAGGACCAUGU
rnacentral:sRNA from 1 species